UGGAAUGAGAACAAUUUAAAUACCUUAACGAGGAACAAUUAGAGGGCAAGUCUGGUGCCAGCAGCCGCGGUAAUUCCAGCUCUGAUAGUAUAUAUUAAAGUUGUUGCAGUUAAAAAGCUCGUAGUUGAAACUUGGGUGCGUAGGGGCGGUCUCUUUUAGAGUACUACCCUGAAACAUCUUUCUUUGGUGUAAACUUUCUAUUUAUUUAGGAAGUGUAAACCAAACAUUUACUUUGAAAAAAUUAGAGUGUUCAAAGCAGGCCUUUGCUCGAAUAUAUUAGCAUGGAAUAAUAGAAUAGGACGUAUGGUUCUAUUUUGUUGGUUUCUAGGACCGUCGUAAUGAUUAAUAGGGACGGUCGGGGGCAUCAGUAUUCAGUUGUCAGAGGUGAAAUUCUUGGAUUUACUGAAGACUAACUACUGCGAAAGCAUUUGCCAAGGACGUUUUCAUUAAUCAAGAACGAAAGUUAGGGGAUCGAAGACGAUCAGAUACCGUCGUAGUCUUAACCGUAAACUAUGCCGACUAGGGAUCGGAGGGCGUUAUAAUAACCUCUCCGGCACCUUACGAGAAAUCAAAGUUUUUGGGUUCUGGGGGGAGUAUGGUUGCAAGGCUGAAACUUAAAGGA
rnacentral:rRNA from 1 species